GACGUAGGGCGCAAGCGUUGUCCGGAUUUAUUGGGCGUAAAGGGCUCGUAGGCGGUUUGUCGCGUCGGGAGUGAAAACACCGGGCUUAACUCGGUGCUUGCUUUCGAUACGGGCAGACUAGAGGUAUGCAGGGGAGAACGGAAUUCCUGGUGUAGCGGUGAAAUGCGCAGAUAUCAGGAGGAACACCGGUGGCGAAGGCGGUUCUCUGGGCAUUACCUGACGCUGAGGAGCGAAAGUGUGGGGAGCGAACAGG
rnacentral:rRNA from 1 species